AUUGAACGCUGGCGGCAUGCUUUACACAUGCAAGUCGAACGGCAGCGCGGGCUUCGGCCUGGCGGCGAGUGGCGAACGGGUGAGUAAUACAUCGGAACGUGCCCAGUAGUGGGGGAUAGCUCGGCGAAAGCCGGAUUAAUACCGCAUACGACCUGAGGGUGAAAGCGGGGGAUCUUCGGACCUCGCGCUAUUGGAGCGGCCGAUGGCAGAGUAGCUAGUUGGUGGGGUAAAGGCCUACCAAGGCGACGAUCUGUAGCUGGUCUGAGAGGAGGAGCAGCCACACUGGGACUGAGACACGGCCCAGACUCCUACGGGAGGCAGCAGUGGGGAAUUUUGGACAAUGGGCGAAAGCCUGAUCCAGCAAUGCCGCGUGUGUGAUGAAGGCCUUCGGGUUGUAAAGCACUUUUGGCGGGAACGAAAAGGACUGUGCCAAUACCACGGUUCGAUGACGGUACCCGCAGAAUAAGCACCGGCUAACUACGUG
rnacentral:rRNA from 1 species